GCCAGUCAGCAUUAAUUCAGCAGCCCAUAAGGGAAGCAUAUAUUCAACAGCGUGCAGAAGGACAUCUUCCAUCACAUUUUGCUGAGAUGCUAUGGGGAUGGACCCACACUCAAGAGGAGUCACCCAACAUCCUUCAUUUUGGAAUUAUUCUUAAAGGAAGACAUGAAGUUGGAUGGGUAGAGAGAUAAUUUGAUGUUUCACAAGGAUGCUUGCAAAUAGCAUGGAGCCAUGGAAAUAUGUUCAAUGUUAAAACACCUUUUGGAUGUACUCUUUGUUUAACAGCUGUGAUAGAGGGAAUGCUGUGAUUGUACCAUUGACUAUGUGUAUAUAUAGAUAAAACAAGCAGAGGAAAAGUGACUAGAAACUAUGUCUAUCAAAUAUUCAAUGUUAGUGGUAUUGGAGAGAAGACAAGGAACUGCCCAUGACUCGGGAAAUCCACCCUCAGGUUUGUCUCCGGGCCAUAAAACUUUCUUGGUGCAAAAGCUCUUCUCUAGAUUGAAGAAUUGGACAGUAAGAUAGAGGUGACAGAUUGAGCAUCCUGAGCGUGGGCCUUUCCAUAUUACAUCAAGAGCAGGUUUCUUAUCCCCUGUGGUUGGUCACUUUACUUAAUGAGCAAACAUAACAGCGGCAUGCAGGAAAUACAUUUUACCAAGUUUUCUGUAUAGAGGAGUAAGAUCUGUGCCUGUGAUUAGAUAUCAAAUU